AUACACAAAAAUGCCUCUGUGUAGACUUUAUUGCACAAGGUAUAGUAAGAUUUUCCAGUAUUGAACGAAUCACAAACCGAAUAACGACGAGAUCCUCUCAGUUUUAUUUAAAGCAUUUUAUGUGUGUUUUGCUUGCUGGAUAUUUUUAUUCAUACAAAAUAAUAUUGGUCGACCAGUUGUGUGUUUAUAUUUUAAUAAAUUUUGAAAAACGAAUUUUCUUUUUUAAUUAUUUGAUAAUUUUGAGUUUUUUUUUUCGCUGCGAGGAUUAAGUCAAAUAUUUAGAACGGUCUGUUUGUUCGGUGUCAAUAGUUGAGUGUCAUAUGUUGGUAACGUGAAAAUAAACACGAAAAAUAUUUCAGUUCGAGUGGAUAAUUUGGUUGGAAUUACACAAAUACCAAAUUCACAAAGUCGAUAUGUCUGGUCCGGUGUUCUGCGGUAAAUGCAAAGCUGCCAUAAAAGGAAGGACGUUGAACGCAUUGGGCAAAUCAUGGCAUCCCGAACAUUUCGCAUGCCAAGUCUGCCAAAAGCCAAUCACAAACACCACAUUCAAUGAACGUGAAGGUCAACCAGUCUGUCCGCCAUGCUAUGCUCAAAAAUACUGUGAGAAAUGCUACCACUGCAAACAGCCUAUUAUUGGGAAAGUAAUCAAAGCAAUGAAUCAUUCGUACCACGAAGACCAUUUCAUGUGUGCCGGACCCUGUCAAAAGCCAAUGGCUAUGUCAGCACCAUUUUUCCAGAAAGAGGGCAAACCGUAUUGCAAACUUGACUACGACGUAUUGUUCGGAAGAUAAAGUACGCUUCACACGCAAAAUAACUGUCGCUGAACACUCUUUAACAUCUUAAUCGAAACGAAUAAUUUCUUGCCUGACCAAGAGGUUAAUGGGAUGAAACGAGUGAAAAAUAAUUAAAAUUUUCCAUUCGAUUUGACAAAGCAAGAAAUCAUUGCGCACAGAUUCAAAUCCUAAAAAAUGAGACGGAUGGCCAGCAGGGAAACCAGUUUACGAAAAUUGCAUUUCAAUUUAAUUUCGUUUGUUAAUUCAUUGUUUAUCUCUUGUUUACUUUCGUUCAAUGUGAAAUACAACUAAAAAUCAAUUUAAAAGA